rnacentral:ribozyme from 1 species
UGUAGCUUUCAUGUAAUGGGAUGGGAUCCGAAGCCCCUUAAGGGAUAGUAUAAGUUCUCCCAUCCAACUCCUAUCUCGACAUAUCCUUGUCCUUGUGCAGAGUGAUAACACGUGCCUCCAACAUGCUUGGGUACACGGACUAGCUCCAUCCCCUCAGGGGCAUAUUGCAAACCAGGAGGGU